CAUGACCUAAGUCACACACUGAAAGUCGAAGGCCUGAGCAACUCGGCCACUGCUCUGAGUCCGCAGGGAUUUACGUCCAAUGCCUUUUGUUACGGCGGCUGUUUUAUAAAGGCCAAGAGAGUCGGCUUUAACAUGUGGAGUUUUAUAAUAAUCCGAGGUUCUGAUAUCACUGAGCGAAAGUUCAAAGUAAUCAUUCCAGGUCCUGCUGAAUCCGGAGGUGGAAUGUACAAGGAGCAACGAUGCUAGGAGAGUUUGCAGAACAGGAGCGAAAUCAUGAGUGUCUUGAGUUUCACUGAGGUGUUCUGGGAAGUCAUCUCUUUGGCUCUUCAGAUAUGAAGCCGGGUUAUGGUAGGAAAACACAAAGGUCAUAAGUCCUGUGGUUUUCAAAGAAGUUCUUCAGUGGAAGGAGGAGAGAGUGGAGCAGAAUAAGGGUGUUGGCCAGACUUUCCCAGGAUUCCCAGGAUUGCUGAAGAGUGUCUGGAGCAUAUACCAAUCUUAUAUACUUUCUAUGUGAUGUAAUUAAUUCACCCAUGAAACAAGAAGGCUUUUUUUUCAUGGGAAAUGUCCUUGAACUGUUGAAACUUGAAAAAAUAAAAAAAGAAGUAAGUUGAGAUUAUUUUGGUUAAAAAUAAGCAGUGAACUCUACAUAAGGUCCCUGGAACAAAAUAAAUGUUCUAAAAGA